UGGUGGAGUGAUUUGUCUGGUUAAUUCCGUUAACGAACGAGACCUCGACCUGCUAACUAGUCCAGUAGACCAUCUGGUCUUACUGAUUGACUUCUUAGAGGGACUAUCGGUGUGUAGCCGAUGGAAGUUCGAGGCAAUAACA
rnacentral:rRNA from 1 species